GUCAAUUCCCAUUGAACCGGAGAAGUAACCUGGCAGGCUAGGAUCUUUUUAAUUCUAUCGGGAUCUGUGUGCGGUCGUGCAUCCACGUUGGAUAUAACUGGUAACCUGGGCGUUCUUAUUUCUGUUGCCGCUAGUGCAGCUUCCAAUCUCGAGACAGCCGGUUCCAUAAAGCUGGUGUGGAAAGCACCAGCAACUGAUAGACGCACCGUCAUUCGAGCCUUAAAUGACUUUGCCUUGGACUCUACUGCUUCCACUCCUUUCACACCCCCAGAGACAGCAUAAUUUCCUGGACAAAGAAAGUUUGCAAUCUGAACUUUGUCUUUCUCGUCUACUUCCUCAUUUGCUGCAUCGCACAAUAAUU
rnacentral:misc_RNA from 1 species